AUACAUUCCACACAGCUUAUCUAAUUAGCAUAAACUAGAUACAUCAGUCAACCAAUAUGGAAUCUCCACACUUAAUGGCUCGCUUUUGUUACUUCUCAAACCACUCCCUCUGGCAUUUUGCCAGGCACCAUCCAGACUUGUUUAUGAACUCUAACAUUCCCCUGGCAAAAUGCCAGGUGUUAUUUUUGACUUGUUUACAGACUCUAACAAGCAAGGGUGCUGCAUCUCACUGUCAAGAUCAAUGUCCCUAGAACUGGGUUUGGCUAGCCCAUAAGUGACAGCAUAUAUGUAUUCAUUAGCUAGCCUCCGUAUGAAUCUGACUGACAGUUGGAGGGAUGGCCUGUGCUGAGGAGCUCUGGGGCAGUUCCAUUUAGAUCAGUCCGCCUCUGGUGCACUCUUGAGGGAAUUCCCACUAUGGGACACUGCUUAGCUGCUUUCCGCUAAUCUGGGUUUAAGAAUUGGAUUUGGAAGCUUCUGACCACUACCUACACCACUCCAUAUGUCUUCUCACUUCCAGUCCAAAUGACCUCAGGCUCAAGAUACAUAGAGGCAGCUAAGCUUCCUAGCUGGCCUUUUCUUGCUUGGUGCCUUCAGCGCUGGGGCAGGCAACACACCCACGGUCUUGUGAGUUUUGUGGCAAGGUCAAGUGACCUUGGGCUCUGGGGAAAGAUGGGAGGUUGUUGAUGAGCUCCCACACCUGAGGCAGUUUUGAGCUCUGAAGAAGUAGAUCCUUAGGGUUCCUUCAUCAUGUUACCCUUUCUCCUAGCUCCCAGGAAUUACCUCAUUUUAUCAGGCUUCCAGAGCACAAACCACAUUGGCCCAAAGAUGGGAAGGUUCUGUGGCUUUCAGGCUCCUUUUAGGCCUCUGGGGAUUUGAGCUGUGGCCUGAUUGCUGAUGGGGCUUGAUCAGGCUCAUGACAUAAAUUCAUGGGAGACCUGAUUACCCAGUAUAAAGAACAUGCCUCAUUCUCCAAGCAUAGUGUACUACUAUUUGCUUUGACCAAAUUCAUUCAUCUCAUCCCUGCAAAAAUCUCAAGAGAGCUAGAAGCAGUAUUGCAUGCAUAUAAUCCCAGAAGCUGGCUCAAGAGAGACCAGUGUUCAAGGCCCUUAACACCAUGGUGGGUGUGUUUUUAUUGUUGUUGUUGUUUGUGUGUGUGUGUUUUUUAAAUCGUAUAUAGACAGCCCUUUAUAUUCAUGGAAUCUGAAUCUCUAUAUUAAACCAAUUGAAUUGAAAUACCUGGGAGGGUGGGAAUAUAGCUCAGCCUAGAGCUCACCAUGGGUUAGGAUCCCUAGCACUACAAAAAGUAAGGGGUUGGGAAUGUUUAUGCUGAAUAUAUACCAUUAUUUUUAAUCUUGCCAUUUUUC
rnacentral:lncRNA from 1 species